CAACUUACCGUGAUUUACCGGCCUCUCAAGGGCUACCUUUCUACCUUUUCUUUUUUCAACUGCGGUGAGGCACGCUACGUUGGGCAGCCUCACCAUGCAUCACCAUAUUAUUGCUGUCCUAUUUCUUCUCGCAUCUGCUUGCGCUUGUGCAGAUGCAUUGUCUGUAGAGCUGGCUCAAAGCACACUUCUGGGAGCAGAGGCAGAGCUAUCACAACAUGCUGUUCAGUUCUCUAACAGCUCGCUCUGCUUCCACACUGUUGCUGCAGAUGAUCAGAAUGCAAACACGAUUGCGUCCACGCACUGCACCUUUGACAGUGGUUCGACAUUUGAAGUAAUAAAGAACGUUGAUGACAUGUGCUUGAGGGGAAUAGUGGUCGAUCAUCAGCUCUUCUGUCCCCAUGAACAGGUGCAGCAGCCGGAGGAUGGAGACGCGGAAUAUGCUGCUUUCUCGUUCAAGGUUCAAAAUGCUACCAUUUACAAAGAAAACAGCGAAAGACGCUUUGUUUUCAAAGGCGACAAGCUUACUGGAGUGUUGAAUCAGGUUUAUUUUAACGGAAAUGCGAUUUACAUGGAGGAAGACGAUGCGUACAUCUUUCUGUCGACGACUAUUAAUGAGGCGGAAGACAAGAAAGUUGUUGUGUUCCGCUCUGAGGAUGGCUUUGUCUACAAUGCGAUUUCAGUCAUCCCUAACCUGCAAGAGGCUCAGCAGCAUUACAUGAUUUAUGAAGGUGGCCGCGUGCUCUCUGUAGUGUCGUCCUUCAAUGGAUCGUACUACACCAGUGUGUCAUCUGGCUAUGCAGGCAGGCACUGGUCAGCCAUGAGGAUGCUCAACGUAUCUACACCACCAGCAUCUGUCAUGUUUUCGGGAGUAAAGCUCCAGUACGCGUGCUCGAACGAAACAUCUGAGAGAGCCAAGUGGUACGUCGUCGACGACAAUGGACGACACGCUAUCAAAAAAGAGGCACCCGAGUUACCCGCUGUCAGUAAAGCCACAUCCCGCUCUCCCUUUCUUGCAUUUUCCUUGAAAGCGUCUGACAGCGACAAAAAGAGAUUACUCGUUCUGCAGACCGAGCUAAUAGACGACAGACAGACCAACAUUCGCGCUUCCCUAUUCUCUGUCGACGACUCCGCCGAGGAGAAAGAGAAGGCGGAGAGGAUCGAAAAGUGGAAAAAAGAGCAGCAGAAGAGAGAAGCAGCCCGCUUCAAGGCAAAGCUGGAGAGACUGGAGCGGGAGAAAGCGCUGCGGCGCGAGCGGAGGCGCAGGGAGGCGGAGCGUAAGGCACAAUUUAUUACCCUUGACGAACCAAAUGUGCGGGCUGCCAAGGAGUUUUUCGAGAAAGAUGGGGAGAUGAUACUUGUGCGCCGUGUGAACAAAGAUUCUGUUGCCUUUGAGAAGGAGGUUUUCUUUUCGGACCUCUAGUGCAAUCAUUCUUGUUUGGUUUUCUUUGUUUUCGUGGUACAUCCUUGCCAUGGUCUGUGCGUCAUGUGCUUCUUUUUCAUGUCUAUGUAGCUCUUCUCUCGCCUUUUUGGUUCUGCCUGCAAUGCAGCCAUGCUGAGCUGGUGCCACCCCAGGCAAUGUCGGCAUAGAGGUAGUCAGGACAAUCCUUUUCAUUCUGGACUUCUUCUUGAGGUAGCCUUAGCGGCUCAGCAAAAGCAAAAAUUACAGCUUUGCUCCUCUCCGCAACGCAUUGGCUGCAGAUGCCGUUGGAAAAGAGAGCAAAUCGUCCUCGUCGUGCUCACUCCUCUCGCACUGUUUGUCAUCUUGCCUUUCUC
rnacentral:misc_RNA from 1 species